AUAACAAAUUCUUCACUGGAUGGGCCAGUGCUAUAAUUUGGAGGAUGAUGACUUGGAAACAGAUGUGAACAAGCUGAGUUCCAAACCUGGUCUUGACCGACCUGAAGAGGAACUGAUGCAAUAUGAGGCGAUGUGUCUUGAGCUCUCCUAUAGCUUUGAGGAACUGCAGUCCAAACUUGGAGAUGAUUUGAACUCUGAAAAGACCAAUCACCACCACAUUCCAGCCGCUGCCUCCUCAAAGCAGCAUUGCUACAGCAAGGACCAAAGCUCCUGUGGGCAAGAAAGAGAAUAUGCUGUCCAGACUUCCCUUCUGUGCAGGGUGAAGAUGGGAAGGUCCACUGUGCAUCUAGGCUCCAAAAAAAAUCCUGGAGUGAACCUGUACCAAAAUGUGCAAUCCAGUAGUCUCAGGAGAGAUUCUUCUGAAAGUGAAAUCCCUGACAUUCAGGCUUCCCUGAAAGCAGAUGCCUGGGACAUAGAUGCAAUUUUCUGCCCAAGGAUGAGUGCCUCCUUUUCUAAUUCCACUAGGACUAGAGAAGCUGUCAAAGUAAUAGAUAAGCUUCUGCAGACACAUCUGAAGCGUGUCCCUUUCCACGAUCCCUAUCUUUAUAUGGCCAAAGCCAGAAGAACCAGCUCUGUGGUAGACUUCAAGAUGAUGGCAUUUCCUGAUGUCUGGGGACACUGUCCCCCUCCCACCACCCAGCCUAUGUUGGAACGAAAAUGUGGAGUCCAAAGGAUCAGGAUAUUUGAGGAUAUUCGGAGGCUCAUCCAGCCAAGUGAUGUUAUAAAUAAAGUUGUCUUCAGUUUAGAUGAGCCUUGGCCUUUGCAAGACAAUGCUUCCAAUUGUUUACGGUUCUUCUCCAAAUUUGAGUCAGGAAAUCUUCGCAAAGCCAUCCAAGUGCGUGAGUUCGAGUAUGACUUGCUGGUCAACGCAGAUGUGAAUAGCACCCAGCACCAGCAGUGGUUCUAUUUCAAAGUGAGCGGUAUGCAGGCGGCCAUCCCUUACCACUUCAACAUCAUCAACUGUGAGAAGCCCAACAGCCAGUUUAAUUAUGGGAUGCAGCCCACCCUGUAUUCUGUGAAGGAGGCUCUUCUUGGCAAACCCACCUGGAUGCGGACAGGCCAUGAAAUAUGUUAUUACAAAAAUCAUUAUCGCCAGAGUACGGCUGUUGCAGGCGGAGCAUCUGGGAAGUGCUACUAUACCCUCACCUUUGCUGUCACCUUCCCACACAAUGAGGAUGUCUGCUACCUGGCCUACCACUAUCCCUAUACCUACACAGCCCUCAUGACUCAUCUUGACAUCCUGGAAAAGAGUGUCAACCUCAAAGAGGUCUACUUCCGGCAAGAUGUUCUCUGCCAGACGCUGGGAGGGAAUCCGUGUCCCUUGGUGACCAUCACGGCCAUGCCUGAGUCCAACAGUGAUGAGCAUCUAGAGCAGUUGCGUGAGUAAAAUGGGAUCCUCUUCGUAGAAGAUUUGACUAAGGGUGUCCUUUAUAGUGUUGGAAGCAUUCUCUCUCUUUUAGAUCAAAAGCUCCAUAAAGGGUUGGAGACUGUCUGUCUUUGUAGAAAUGCACCCCCAGCUUUUCUUGGUGUGACACAAAGGUUAAACAUUAAUGUUGCUUUGUUGUUAAAGGGAGAGAAAAUGAAAUGAAUUCAAACUGUCAGGCAGAUGAAAUGACAGUUUGCUAAUGAUGGUCACUUCCUCUCUUAAAACAGAACCAGGACUCUGAAUCAUAUUUUCCAACUUCUAAUCCAGGGACUUUUCUCACUGUGCUCACUGCUGUUAUGUGACUCUCAGUCAGUCAAGGUUUGGAAAGAAAGAAAGUUGAGUUUUUAAGCCCUGGCUAAAGAAUCCCCUUGAUAACCUGAAUACCAUUUGUGUCUGAAGGGCUGAAGAUGUGGACAGGCUCUAGCUAAGAACUUUGAAACAAAGUCAAAGCCAAACUCAUGCACACACACGCAGACACACACAAAUAUACACAUAUGGACAUAUACACAAACACAUAGACACAUGUAGACACAAACAUAUACACAGACGUGUAGACACAAACAUAUACGCCUAGACGUGUAUACAUGUGUAGACACAAACAUAUACACAGAUGUGUAUACACGUAUACAGACACGUACACACACACAUCUUUAAAUGUUGGGCUUCUGUGCCUAAGUGCAUAUGUGCGACUGACCUGUUGACCUGUUACGAACUAGCUUUUGAAAAUGGCUUCUGACAUCAUUUCAGACCUUAGGUGG
rnacentral:sRNA from 1 species